rnacentral:lncRNA from 1 species
GGGGAGCUUAGAGCCCAAAGGAGCCUUGAAGGCCAUUCAAUUCAGCCCCUAAGGAAGAGCCAGCGUGGGGAGGGGAGCAAGAGGCCCGUGUGGGGCGUCUGGCUAGUCUGGAGAGGGGAACGGGCUGCCAGAGAAGUGGAACAGAGCCACAGACGAGCGUUGUUGUCAUUCAUCUGUGACCAGGGCUGUGACUGCUCCCCUCCUCCCAGGCCCCGAGCUAAGGAGACCCCAGGCGUGGCAGUGGCUGGACACAGGCAUGCAGUGCUGGGGUUGCAGGCAGAGAGGGCUGCUUCUUCCAGGACCCUGCAGAUUCCUCUGGGGUCAUCCCCAGUGCCCUGCUGGCGGCCUCACUCUGUGUGGCAGUCGUGUGGAUGGCUGUGGCCCUUGUUCUAGUAGUUGGAGCCAAGUCACCUGGGCAGUUGGAGGCAGGGGCCCAGACGGAACCCAAGGACCCACCCCCAUUCCAGCGCAGCACAGGCGUCUCUCAGGGGAUUGGCUGGGAGUUUAGGAGGGUUGGGAGAGGUGCCUAAGGGUCCUUCCCGGGUGGUCCCAUCCCAGCCUGGCCCUGCUUGUCAUUUCUGGUUAGGGACCUGCAUAGGGUGGGGGCUCAGGGUCCCCUCUAGCUCUAGGCUGGCCUGAGUGUCAAGGUCUGCCUGGCCGGCUUCCCAGGCCAGGAUUUCUGGGCCCCGACCCCAGGCCCCAGCCCAGGGGAAGCCCUGAGGUGGAUUCCGGAGGCACAGAAUUCCUGGCUGAUGUUGGGGUGGUUCUGACAAAGUGCCUGCCUUUGGGGGCAACUCCUGCCACCAGAAGAGAGAAGAGUGUAGAUAAUGGCAAGGAGAAGAGGGUGGGGUUCAGAGCAGGCUGGGGCGGGGGGCAGGGGCAGGCAGAGCCAGAGAGGAGAGAAGAGAUGGGCCCUCCCAGAGAGGCGCGGGGAGGCUCCCUCCAGAAGGGAAACGAAAAAUCUGAGCCAGGAGGCUUCAGAGAGCAGGUUCCCAGGCUAGGGGUCCUAUCAGAGCUGUAGCCGCCGGCCUACACCACAGCAACUCGGGAUCCGAGCCGCGUCUGCGGCCUACACCACAGCUCACGGCAACGCCGGAUCCUUAACCCACUGAGCAAGGCCAGGGAUUGAACCCGCAACCUCAUGAUUCCUUGUCGGAUUCGUUAACCACUGCGCCACGACGGGAACUCCUCCGGUGGAUGUUCUUAAAGAGCCUUUGGGGGAUUCGCAGCGCCAGAGCUGACUGUGGGGAGGAGGGGCACCAAAAUAGCCCCAAGAGGAGGUCAAUCUUGGCAUACAGUAAGUGCAACAUCAAUGUGGCCUUUCCUAUCGUUCUUACCCCACAGGGAGGAAACCUCGUCAGGCUGGCUGAAUCAGGUGCCUGAAAAAGGGCUUUGACCCAGUGAGCCCCACCUGAAAAAUGCCAUUAGCGUCAGCCCACCCCUGGCCCAGGGUUCCUCCACGUGACCUUGAUGGUUUCCGGAGCUUUCAUCACUCCUGGGUAUCCGGAGGUUUCGGAACUAGGCUCCAGGCCACCCUCCAAGACCUUCUGGAGCAGAUUUCCUCUGAAGAGAGUGUUCGACCAAGAGGGGAGGGCCACCUGGGGUGACUUCCUCCAGGCCCUUGGCCUGCCAAGGCAGAGGCCCUAAGAAGUGGCCCAGGAACAGCACAGCUCCUCCCUUCCCAUCCCGACCCCUGACCUGCCCCAGCUGAGAAAAAGCUGUGGCUUGAGAUUUACAACUAGGAGGGGUAUGCGGAUCUGUUUUGCAUUCUUGGAGCUGGGUCACGGCAGAAAUGCAGGAAUUUGGGAAGUAAGCCACCCGGAUGCCCAGUGCUGCCUUUGGCUGGCAUAGAAAAAGUUUGAUCUGUUUCGGUCUCUCAGAAAGUCCUGAGCCUGAGCCCCCACUGCAGGUGAAGCUUGAGGAGGGGCCUCCAUUGGCUGGCUGCAGCUCUGGUAAUUCUGCUCCCAAUCCACAGAGGGAAAAAAAAAAAAAAAGAAAAAAAA